rnacentral:rRNA from 1 species
GUGAAUGCUAGUAGUAUGCCUAACACAUGCUAGUUGAACGUAAGUUUUUUUUAACUUAAGUAGCGUACGGGUGAGUAAUACAUAAGAAUAAUUGCCUAUUAGUUUGGAAUAAAAAUUAGUUUUUAAUUCCAAAUAAUGUUAAGAAGAAAAGAUUGUAAAAUCGCUAAUAGAGAUGCUUAUGAAGGUUUAGGUAGUUGGUGUGAUAAUAGCGUACCAAGCCAAAAAUCCUUAGUUGAUAUGUGAGUAUGGUCAGCCACAUUGGGGGUGAAAGAGACCCAAGUUCUUUCGAGAGGCAGCAGUGAGGGAUAUUGGACAAUAAGCGAAAGCUUGAUCCAGCAAUACUACGUGAGUGAUGAAGUAUUUUUUUAAAUAUGUAAAACUCUUUUAUUGAGGAAGAUGAUGACGGUACUCAAAGAAGAAGUCCCGACUAACUUCGU